GGGAAUAUAGCUCAGUGGUAGAGCGCAAGCCUCGGGUUUGGAAGAGGAUGAUGACCACUACAAUGUACGUGUGCUAUAUGAUUCCUUGACUAUUCAAGCGUGCGUGAGGUCGGUAGUUCGAAUCUAUCUAUUCCUA